UGUAGGCAACACGCAGUCUACAUUGGAGUGAUCCAUUCUAUUUUUUCCAGGGGAAAGCCAAGGCAAUACAAAGCUGUAGAAAAAUCACUUAACCUUUUCUUUCCCCAAUUACUGCUUAACACAGGUCAUUGGUGUGCAUGCACCUGAUGUCACAUUGUGACUAGGUCUAUUUUUAAUGUCAUCUCAGCUGCAGAGAACAGUUGAUGACAACACAGUCCAGGUAAGCUUCUGUUAUGAAAUGGGACUCCAGGUUAGCUGCCUCUAGUCACGUAGCUGUACCCAAACUUAGGCUCCGAUAGAAAAACAAACAUUUGGUUAUCUCCUUGUGCGUACUUGGGGGAGAAGAAAAAACAAAGAAAAAAGAAAAAUAUCUGACCUUUUGAUGUGCACUUUCUCCGUCCUGUGUCCUGGCCAGUGCGCAAGUAAAUACGGGCUGGAAGCUGCCAGCCUGCCUGCGGUUCCCGCUCACGCACUGACACUCAGCCAACGGCAGAUAGGGAACCAGAAACAAAGAGGGUUACUACUCCACCGGGGCCCGCCGCCUUCUUCGGGCCAUGUUUUUCCAAAGGGCUACACACCUGACGGCAGCUUCCUCGGAUUCCAGUAAUCCUUGUUUUAUGGUUAUGGUUA